CUUCCUAAGAAAACGAGGAGCUGCUUCCAGAGAAAGUGGACGUCAAUGUCCGAGGAACAAUAACUAUGUCUGCUUAUGGGCGACAGACAACAAAACUUCGUGGGGCAGAGAGGGAAGCGUGAAGUCUCUCCAGGAGCGUGAAGCCCAGUGAAGGAUUUGAACACAUGUGUUUUGGAGGAAGGAGAAUGUUUUCGUCGAGGGGACAAGUGGAGAGGAUGUGGCCUUGCCCAGAGAGUGCCUGAAGAGGCCAGAAGAGGGCGCUGGAGUUGAAGUUGCAGACAGUCAUUAGCCACCCAAGAUCAUGAGGUAGAGCCCUCAGCACCAAGUCUUCCGUGUGUUGCCAUGCUUCCCGCCAUGAUGAUAACGGACUAAACCUCCAUUUCCAUCAUAAGCCAGCCC